GCUGGGCAUGGUGGUGGGCGCCUGUAAUCCCAGCUACUCCGGAGGCUAAGGCAGGAGAAUUGCUUGAGCCCAGGUCACGGAGGUUGCAGUGAGCAGAGAUGGUGCCAUUGUACUCCAGCCUGGGAGACAGAGCAAGAUUCCAUCUGAAAAUAAACAAAAAAAUGUUUUUUAGAGACAAGGUCUCACUUUGUCUCCCAGGUUGGAAUGCAGUGGUACAAUCAUAGCUCACUGCAGCCUUGAACUCCUGGGCUCAAGUGAGUCUCCUGCC
rnacentral:lncRNA from 1 species